AUUGAACGCUGGCGGCAGGCCUAACACAUGCAAGUCGAACGAGUGGCGGACGGGUGAGUAAUGUAUGGGAAACUGCCCGAUGGAGGGGGAUAACUACUGGAAACGGUAGCUAAUACCGCAUACUAUCGGAUGUGCCCAGAUGGGAUUAGCUAGUAGGUGGGGUAAAGGCUCACCUAGGCGACGAUCCCUAGCUGGUCGGAGAGGAUGACCAGCCACACUGGAACUGAGACACGUCCCAGACUCCUACGGGAGGCAGCAGUGGGGAAUAUUGCACAAUGGGCGCAAUCCUGAUGCAGCCAUGCCGCGUGUAUGAAGAAGGCCUUAGGGUUGUAAAGUACUUUCAGCGGGGAGGCGUUACCCGCAGAAGAAGCACCGGCUAACUCCGUGCCAGCAGCCGCGGUAAUUC
rnacentral:rRNA from 1 species